AGUACACUAGGAUAUUUUUAAAAGUCUGUGAGAUUCAUAUUCUUAAGGUUAAUGUGCUU
rnacentral:tRNA from 1 species